AUUGAACGCUGGCGGCAGGCCUAACACAUGCAAGUCGAACGAGUGGCAGACGGGUGAGUAAUGUCUGGGAAACUGCCUGAUGGAGGGGGAUAACUCCUGAAAACGGUAGCUAAUACCGCAUACCAUCAGCUGUGCCCAGAAGGGACUAGCUUGUUUGUGGGGUAACGGCUCACCAAGGACAAGAUCCCUAGCUGGUCUGAGAGGCUGACCAACCACACUGGAACUGAGACACGGUCCAUCCUCCUACGGGGUCCAGCAGUGGGGAAUAUUGCACAAUGGGCGCAAGCCGGAUGCAGCCAUGCCGCGUGUAUGAUGAAGGUCUUCGGUUGUUAAAGUACUUUCAGCGGGGAGGCGUUACCCGCAGAAGAAGCACCGGCUAACUCCGUGCCAGCAGCCGCGGUAAUAC
rnacentral:rRNA from 1 species